CUGCUCCGAAGGACUCAUCCUCAUAUCUUUUGGUGUUUUAAGGCCUUUUUGUGUUCGAGAAUCGCAAGAUGUCAAAAGCAGGAGCAUUGGAUCUGGCUUUUGGAGUUGGCGGAAAUAUUAAGA